rnacentral:rRNA from 1 species
UGGGGAAUUUUGCUCAAUGGGGGAAACCCUGAUGCAGCGACGCCGCGUGAUUUAGAAGGCCUUCGGGUUGUAAAAAUCUUUUCUAUGGGAAGAAAAUGACAGUACCAUAGGAAUAAGGACCGGCUAAUUACGUGCCAGCAGCCGCGGUAAUACGUAAGGUCCGAGCGUUGUCCGGAAUCAUUGGGCGUAAAGGGUACGUAGGCGGGUAAGCAAGUUAGAAGUGAAAUCCUAUAGCUCAACUAUAGUAAGCUUUUAAAACUGCUCAUCUUGAGGUAUGGAAGGGAAAGUGGAAUUCCUAGUGUAGCUGUGAAAUGCGCAGAUAUUAGGAGGAAUACCGGUGGCGAAGGCGACUUUCUGGCCAUAACCUGACGCUGAGGUACGAAAGCGUGGGUAGCAAGCAGG